UUUAAUUCAAAUAUCAAAUUAUCAUUGAUUUACUAAUAUUUGUAAUAUUUUAUAUUUUUAUACAUGUAUUUACGUAAAAAUUGUCGAUAUUUUUUAGAUACGGAAGAAGAGUUAAAUGAAUUUAUAAGUCAAGUUAGACCUCGUAUGCCGAAACUAAAUCGUCAGCUUUAGAUGCUCCAGUGGGUAAUAAGGACAUUAAUGAGAAGGAUAAAUCAAAGAAAUCUAGAAAGGUAAAACUCAAUGCUAUCAUUUAUAUAAAUACAUUUCUUAUUAUUUAUAGAAAGCAAGAAAGAAAUUUAAAAAAUCUGAAGAAGAUGCAGCAGCUGAAAUAAUAAGUCAGUACAAAUAAUCGCUAGAGGACAACCAUGAGGAUGGGCUUGGACUGGAGCUAACCGAUCAAGACAUUCCAAAGAAAACGAAAGGCACAGAUUUCAGACUGCAGGAUAGUAGAAGCCAUGAUAUGGACGAUGACAGCCAGGACUACAGAAAUGAUGACCACAGAAAUAGAAACAGGGAGCAUGAAGACGGUGUGGAAGAGACUACCAAGCCAGACAGACUAAAUAAUGUAGUGGACCAAUCAAAACUAAAACUAAGGGAAGAAAGAAGGCACAGGUUAAGAGCGAUUAAAGCUCUCAACGUAUAGAGUAAAAAAAUAAGCGGAGAAGAGACAAAAGGAAGAUGAAGAACACAAGAAAGAGGCUGAGAAAGCUGAAGUGGCCACUCAAGAAAAACAAAAAGAAGUACGAGGAUUUCCUCAGAUUAUGAAUUCCCAUAGCGAUAUACCUGUGAAGAAAGCAGUUGUUGAAGAGGCUUACGCUCAAAAGGGGCCCAGCAGGUUUUAUAUAAACAUGAUGUACGCAGCAUGGGGACGUAGUCGGCUUUCCGAACGGUGCGUAAAAAGACAAAAAAAAAACGACUUGAAGGUUCUCACUCCCAGGAUAAAAAGGGCUGUGAGGGCGCAUUUUGAACACUUCCUGAACCAUUACAAGUUUCCAGAGCAGCUGUAUAAUCACUAUUUAGGAUUAGUAAAUAACUAUGCCAGGCGGGUGAUCAAUGGAGCAAAAGCUCACGUUAAAAAGAUCACAGAGUAUCCAGAACUCGGUUCUGACUACGAUGAAGAGGAACCAGAGAUGAUAGAGCUAUAAAAAUAAAAUGUUUAAAAGCUACUUCUAAAAUAUAGUACACUGUUUACCAUUUCAUAAUUUCAUAUUAUUUAUUUUUUAUCAAUAAAAAUAUUUUUCGUA